GACCCCGUGAACCUUUACUACAGCUUGGCAUUGGUUUUUGAGGUAACAUGUGCAGGAUAGGUGGGAGGCUUUGAAGUGCGCACGCCAGUGUGUAUGGAGUCAUCCUUGAAAUACCACCCUUCUUAAAAUGUAAUUCUAAUUCCGCAAAGCGGAAAACAGUGCUUGGUGGGUAGUUUAACUGGGGCGGUUGCCUCCUAAAGAGUAACGGAGGCGCACAAAGGUUGACUAUCUCCGGAUGGAAAUCGGAGAGAUAGUGUAUUCGCAUAAGUCAGCCUGACUGAGAGACUUACAAGUCGAUCAGACACGAAAGUGGGUGAAAAUGAUCCGGCAUUAACGAGUGGAAGUGAUGUCGCUCAA
rnacentral:rRNA from 1 species